GGGCGGUUAGCUCAGUUGGUUAGAGCGCUGCGUUGACAUCGCAGAGGUCAGAGGUUCAAAUCCUCUACUGCCCA
rnacentral:tRNA from 1 species